GUGCAGGGCCAUGAACUCAGCCUGGAGGAA
rnacentral:piRNA from 1 species